rnacentral:tRNA from 1 species
GGAAUAGUAGCUCAGUUGGUAGAGCACUGGUCAAACCAGGGGUCGAUGGUUCGAAUCCAUUCUAUUUCU